UACGUAGGGGGCGAGCGUUGUCCGGAUUUAUUGGGCGUAAAGAGCUCGUAGGCGGUUCGAUAAGUCGGACGUGAAAUCUCCACGCUCAACGUGGAGGGGCCGUUCGAUACUGUCGUGACUCGAGUCCGGUAGGGGAGUGUGGAAUUCCCGGUGUAGCGGUGAAAUGCGCAGAGAUCGGGAGGAACACCCGUAGCGAAGGCGGCACUCUGGGCCGGUACUGGACGCUGAGGAGCGAAAGCGUGGGGAGCAAACAGGGAUUAAGAUAC
rnacentral:rRNA from 1 species